rnacentral:rRNA from 1 species
AGCGAACGCUGGCGGCAGGCCUAACACAUGCAAGUCGAACGAACCUUUCGGGGUUAUUGGCGGACGGGUGAGUAACACGUGGGAACGUGCCUUUAGGUUCGGAAUAACUCAGGGAAACUUGUGCUAAUACCGAAUGUGCCCUUCGGGGGAAAGAUUAAUCGCCUUUAGAGCGGCCCGCGUCUGAUUAGCUAGUUGGUUGAGGUAAUGGCUCACCAAGGCGACGAUCAGUAGCUGGUCUGAGAGGAUGAUCAGCCACAUUGGGACUGAGACACGGCCCAAACUCCUACGGGAGGCAGCAGUGGGGAAUAUUGCGCAAUGGGCGAAAGCCUGACGCAGCCAUGCCGCGUGAAUGAUGAAGGUCUUAGGAUUGUAAAAUUCUUUCACCGGGGACGAUAAUGACGGUACCCGGAGAAGAAGCCCCGGCUAACUUCGUG